AUGAACGCUGGCGACGUGCCUAAUACAUGCCCGUCGAGCGAACAGACGAGGAGCUUGCUCCUCUGACGUUAGCGGCGGACGGGUGAGUAACACGUGGAUAACCUACCUAUAAGACUGGGAUAACUUCGGGAAACCGGAGCUAAUACCGGAUAAUAUAUUGAACCGCAUGGUUCAAUAGUGAAAGACGGUUUUGCUGUCACUUAUAGAUGGAUCCGCGCCGCAUUAGCUAGUUGGUAAGGUAACGGCUUACCAAGGCGACGAUGCGUAGCCGACCUGAGAGGGUGAUCGGCCACACUGGAACUGAGACACGGUCCAGACUCCUACGGGAGGCAGCAGUAGGGAAUCUUCCGCAAUGGGCGAAAGCCUGACGGAGCAACGCCGCGUGAGUGAUGAAGGUCUUCGGAUCGUAAAACUCUGUUAUUAGGGAAGAACAAAUGUGUAAGUAACUAUGCACGUCUUGACGGUACCUAAUCAGAAAGCCACGGCUAACUACGUG
rnacentral:rRNA from 1 species